GACGAACGCUGGCGGCGUGCCUAAUACAUGCAAGUCGAGCGGGCUUAUUCGAGUAGCUUGCUAUUUGGAUAAGUCAGCGGCGGACGGGUGAGUAACACGUGGGUAAUCUGCCUCGUAGUCUGGGAUAACAAGCCGAAAGGUUUGCUAAUACCGGAUGAGUUCAUGUUAUUGCAUAGUGACAUGAAGAAAGGGGAGACCCGCUAUGAGAUGAGCCCGCGUCCCAUUAGCUAGUUGGUGGGGUAAAGGCCUACCAAGGCGACGAUGGGUAGCCGGCCUGAGAGGGUGGACGGCCACACUGGGACUGAGACACGGCCCAGACUCCUACGGGGGGCAGCAGUGGGGAAUUUUGGACAAUGGGCGCAAGCCUGAUCCAGCAAUGCCGCGUGCAGGAUGAAGGCCUUCGGGUUGUAAACUGCUUUUGUACGGAACGAAACGGUGAGCUCUAAUAAAGCUUGCUAAUGACGGUACCGUAAGAAUAAGCACCGGCUAACUCCGUGCC
rnacentral:rRNA from 1 species